rnacentral:miRNA from 1 species
UCUUGGAGGGUUUGCUACAGUGC